UGGAUGUCCCGGUUUAGGCAGAAGUAGGCGUGCAGUAGGCAAAUCCGCUGCACAUAUACCGAGGCUGCCGAUCGAGCGAGCAUGGCUUGCGAAGUCACUGAACGGGGUUCCAGGAAAAGCCACUAAGCUUCAGCUUGCAACGACCGUACCGCAAACCGACACUGGUGCGCGAGAUGAGUAUUCUAAGGCGCUUGAGAGAACUCUGGAGAAGGAACUCGGCAAAUUGACACCGUAACUUCGGGAGAAGGUGUGCCCUAGUAGUGUGAUGAGAGCAUCUGAGCAUGAACGGGUUGCAAAAAAUUGGUGGCUGCGACUGUUUAUUAAAAACACAGCACUCUGCAAACACGAAAGUGGACGUAUAGGGUGUGACGCCUGCCCGGUGCUGGAAGAUUAAUUGAUGGGGUGCAAGCUCUUGAUCGAAGUCCCAGUAAACGGCGGCCGUAACAAUAACGGUCCUAAGGUAGCGAAAUUCCUUGUCGGGUAAGUUCCGACCUGCACGAAUGGCGUAACGAUGGCCACACUGUCUCCUCCAGAGACUCAGCGAAGUUGAAAUGUUUGUGAUGAUGCAAUCUCCCCGCGGAAAGACGGAAAGACCCCAUGAACCUUUACUGUAGCUUUGUAUUGGACUUUGAACGGAUCUGUGUAGGAUAGGUGGGAGGCUUUGAAGGCAGGAUGCUAGUUCUGCUGGAGCCGACGUUGAAAUACCACCCUGGUGCGUUUGAGGUUCUAACCUAGGUCCCUGAACCGGGACUGGGGACAGUGCAUGGUAGGCAGUUUGACUGGGGCGGUCUCCUCCCAAAGCGUAACGGAGGAGUUCGAAGGUACGCUAGCUACGGUCGGACAUCGUGACGAUAGUGCAAUGGCAUAAGCGUGCUUAACUGCGAGACUGACAAGUCGAGCAGAUGCGAAAGCAGGACAUAGUGAUCCGGUGGUUCUGUAUGGAAGGGCCAUCGCUCAACGGAUAAAAGGUACUCUGGGGAUAACAGGCUGAUACCGCCCAAGAGUUCAUAUCGACGGCGGUGUUUGGCACCUCGAUGUCGGCUCAUCUCAUCCUGGGGCUGUAGCCGGUCCCAAGGGUAUGGCUGUUCGCCAUUUAAAGAGGUACGUGAGCUGGGUUUAAAACGUCGUGAGACAGUUUGGUCCCUAUCUUCCGUGGGCGCUGCAGAUUUGAGGAAGCCUGCUCCUAGUACGAGAGGACCGGAGUGGACACACCUCUGGUGUACCUGUUGUCACGCCAGUGGCAUCGCAGGGUAGCUAAGUGUGGAAGAGAUAACCGCUGAAAGCAUCUAAGCGGGAAACUCGUUUCAAGAUGAGAUCUGCCGGGGGCUUGACCCCCCUGAAGAGUCGUUCUAGACCAGGACGUUGAUAGGCUGGAUGUGGAAGUGCAGCAAUGCAUUAAGCUGACCAGUACUAAUUGCU
rnacentral:rRNA from 1 species